GUUCGCGCGGAGUCGGAGGUGCAGGGUGCCUUAGACGCGGACCGGACGCCCGACGCGUCCUCCUCAGACAAACCGCAGUGCGUCGUAGUCUUGUGAGCAGACCUGUUCCAAAGCUGCACGUCUUCCAGACGCCGCUUCCAAAGACAAUGGUGAGACGAAGGAAUCGAGCGCCGCAAAGGAGGGCGCUUCUUGAGGAUUUUGUGGCGCACUUGGAAACACUCGAGCAUGCGCUCGUCUUCAUCCUACAGGCUUUGUUGGACCUGGAGGUGCUCUUCCUCGAUCUGUGCCCCGCUUUGCGAAGCAGGCUUUAAACACUGCGCUGCCACAUGGACGUCAUUUUUUUUCCUUUGUUCAAUUUUGAUGGAGCAGCACAUCUUGCUCACAUGAAUAUACGCUGCAUUUCUCCUUUCUUCACUGUUAGUGGCCAAAUUGACUACGACUGGGGAGAGUGUUCUGCUGGUCCCGUAAAACACUCCUCACAGCAGCAUUUCAUAAUAAAAUAGGCAACCAAAAUGUGCA